rnacentral:lncRNA from 1 species
UUAAGGUAAUAGCUGUUGGGAACAAUGAAAGGCCGUGUCUCUAUUUUAGGAAUCAACACUUGGAACAAAAAUACAGGAGCUUACAAAUAGUAAGGAGGUUUGUUCUAAUAUGGGUUCAGUCCUUUGUGGUUUUGGCUUGCAAUAGUAUUCAGAGGUGAGCGGUCCUAAAAUCAUUAAAUCCAUUUUUAUCUAUUCCUCUCUUUGCUAUGGUUUGCGCUGAAUUUGCAAUGUCGUAUCGUCAGCGUGGGGCAAGAUUCAGCUGGUGCCGGAUGUUUGAAGCAGAUCUUCUUUAAGCCAGUGAAGCGCUUGUAUCACGGUCGUCUUCGUCCCAGGACAAGCAAAGGCUGUGAUGCCCACAGGAGGAUGAAGGGCAGGUCUAGCGCUGCUCUCCUCCCUGCUCCAGGACUGUCGCCCUUCAGACAGAGGCAUUCCAGAGACAUGUCAUUAAUUCAGAGAUCGCCAGGGUCUGCAGGCCAGAGACUGAAAAAUGCUGCAUCAAAGGAUCCAUGUUUAAGACAUGGCUGAGACGCAACUGAGGGUCCAAAGUCCAAAACUGGGAACUCCCCAGGCCUCUCCUGCUCACCUCCCACAUGAUGCUGAGAGUGUCUCUUCUCAACCUGUUUGAUCUUGGAGUCUUUAGGGUUGCUUAUGGAUUACUUCUGCAUCAGUCUGAGCAACCUGGAGUUUGACUGAGGCUGACCAGGACAGAAAUUGGGGUCCUGUGUGUGUGCAUUCGAAGGCUCAGCUUCCCCAGUACAGGCUCAGGGGAUGAGACCUCCUUGCAAAAUCUGUCUCCGGCUCCUGUGCAAUGGAGCUGCAGAGUGUAACAUGCCCUCCCUCUCUGCCUGCGAGGACUUGUGUUAAAGC